AAGGACUUCUAAGCCUUCCUCACUCUGGCACUCCUUAGCCAAUAAUGGAGUGGUUUUCUUACAAGCAAAGACACCCCCGUGACUGUUACGGGAAGAGAGGCAAAGGAAUGAAGGGAAGAAAGGGUCUCAAAUCUCCUUGGGAACAUGUUCUGGUAAGAAACCUCAUAAUUCCCAGUGCCCCAUUUAUUUUGGUUAAUUAAACUGUCAAAAGGGGAAGGUAUUUACCUGUCAUUCACUGCAGGCGCUGAUGAGGUGUCAGCCUGCUGAUAGGUAGCUGUUCAAUUACAGUAAUUGCCUUUGUUUCUGUCCCAGGCUUCUGUUCAUCGCCCACAGCUUUCCACACUGCCUCUCCUCUAACUCUUUCCUUGCUUGGUUGGGUUGACAUCAGGCACAUCAGGAAAUGUGGCAAUACUCUUGUGUCCUCAUGCCAUGACCUCAACCAUAUUGAGGUCAUGAAUGCACACCACUGCCUCCUAUUUGCCUACUUCUACUGCCUCCCCCACUCCACCAGGUCAGAUUCAGUCCCUGGGCAGCUGAGACUGGAGUAAGAACAUAAGAAGAACCUGCUGGAUCAGGCCAGUGGCCCACCUAGUCCAGCAUCCUGCUCUCAAAGUGGCCAACCAGAUGCCUUGAUUCCAAACACACACCCCACCUUCAGUGGUCCCUUCUUCACCACCUCAGCUUGUCUCUCCAAACAUCCCCAGACUCUGCUCUACAGUCAUGGAGGAGUAUGCAUCUGCAGAAAUGGCUAUGGGCCCUUUAAAUACUGCAUUCAAGAUUCCAGGUGUUAUGGGCAGCGGCAGCAGCUGUUGACCACUGGGUGGGGCAGCCAAGGGGAUCUCUGGAGAUGGAGCUAAGGAGACCACAAGAGGCCAUCGGACUACAACUUCCACCAUACCUGCCCAUUGGCCAUGCUGUUUAGGGUUGAAGGGAAUUGGAGUCCAACAACAUCUGGAAGGUCACAAGUUAGACACUGCUGACCUAAAUGAUGUCAGGAAGAGAUUCAGCCUAUGCACUGUUGUUCAGUUCUAGCCAAGACUACUGGGAGAGCUACAAGGAAGUUGCUCAGGAUGUAAGUCUGAGUAUGUUAAGUGAUGCUGAUUGACUUCUACACAAGCUUAACAAUCAAAGUGGUCAGGAUACUCCCGAGGCUGUGGCAGGUUGACUCUGCCACCAUCUUCCCUGCAAGAGCUGCAGAACUGACACCUGAAUAAAGCUGGUGCAGGAACACUUUCACGGCACACAGAGUUCUGCCUCUUCUUAUUUUUGUUCUUCUCACCCUAGUUGUGGAGCAAAUGGGGAUGAUGUGAAUUUUUAAAGGGUCCCCCCCUGCCUCCCGCUGCUGCCAAACUGUUGGAGCAUCUCAGUCUUUUCCUGCAGAAGAUUCAACAAAAUGUCCUCCUCGGUUUUGCCAUCUGUGAAUGUUAGGUGCAGCCAUGGACCCAGUUUUAUUAUUGUUUAAUACUAUUUUAAUACUGUUUGAAGGAAACAAAGACACCCCCAGCUCUCCUAUAUUAUCACACGGCUUCCUUCAUCUACCAGUAGGAACUAAUGACAGAGUUUUUAUUGAACAUCAAGUGAGCCAAAAUGUCUCUGUAAAAUAAUUUUCUGGCCAUGGAGGGGGGAUGGUGUUAGUUCCUCCUGAUUAAUUACUGGAAAAUCUCAAUUGUCCCUUGGAGAAGGGUUGGCAAAAUCCACCCCCUUUCCCACCUUCCCGCCCACAAAUAACAUGGAGAGUUUUAGAGGCCAUUUUCUAAACGUCGUAGAACCAAGAGUUUGCAUGGACUCAAGUUAAAUGGAAGCCAUUUCUGGCUGUUUAAAAAAGAAUAAUGAAGAAUUUUUUCACUGCUUUGUUUUAAGUUUCUUUCUCUGGAAUGAUGCUUGUGGCCAUUCCAGUGGGGAUGUGUGAUCUGCAUUUAGACUGCAUCGCCAGGAUACAGAAUGCAGUGGACCAUGUAAGUAUCAAUUUUCCAUAGUGGGCAGAUCGUGUGUAAUUAUAGACCAUUCCAAGGUUUACGGCCAUGAAGAAUCUUUGUGACCGGCACUAAAAUGCUUAUGGGGUUGUUUUGAAAUGUUUCCAGCAAGGUGCUUUUGCAGGAAAGGGGAGAGCUCCUGCCUCAAGGCUCCCCAAAUUCCACUUCUGUGGGAGCGUGACUUCUUACGGGAAUUGUCUGUAGACUAGGCCUCUCUCAUGCUCGUAUGCCACCCGCAGAACUGCUACUUCAAGAAGGGGCAAGCAAAUUUGAUGAGUUAUAAAUCCUGAAGGUGUGAUGCUGGGGAUGGUGUAGGGAAUGCCUCCCCAAAUCUAUAAGGUUGCAUAUUGUUCCUGUGGUUCUCUGCUGCUGCACUAAAAAAAGAUUUUAUUUUUCUAUUUUAGUGCUAAAAUAUCUAUUAUUUAUCACCGUGCAUUCUGCAAGGCUAUAUAUAGGUUGAAGUCAGAUGGAGCCAUCGUUACAGCAGUCAGAACAUUCUUAACAACCGACAGAGCAGAUUCUUCACUCGCGACUUGAACUUAGUUUUGCCACUUGCCUUAUCUGAGUACGUAUAUGCGUUCAAAUGAAUGGAUUACAUCUCCAAUAACCAGUGCUGGAUUUACAUAUAAGCUAAACAAGCUAUAGUUUAGGGCCCUACUCUCUUGGGCCCCCCUAAAAAAAUAAAAUAAUGAAAAAAACACACCUGGAUGUACAUUUCCAAAAUAUAAGAUAAAAAAUGAAUAAAAUAAAACCUACAUACAGCAACAGUGUUUUGUGUUGUGUAGGCUCCUAUGAUGUAAGUAAUGGGCCCCGCCUGCUAGCCUGCUCCCUAAAAUAUCACUGGUUUGCUUAUCUCUAUAUUGCUUUAGAUACCUAUUAGGUCCAUAAAUUGCCAUAUAGCAUAUAUUCAACACAAAAAACAGUGACAAUUUGUUGUUGACAAAGGAUAGCUGGACAUAUAAAGGGCCCCAUUACCUUCAGUAGCUUAGGGCCUCAUCAAACCUAAAUCCAUUCCUGCCAAUAACCAAGGCUGAUUAUAGGGAGCAUACAACUCCCUUGUUACAGCAGCUCCAAUAGCUACUAGUCUGCUUCUGAGGACAAAUCAAAGUGCUGGUUAUCACCUAAAAAGCCCUACACCAGGCAGGAGUUUGCCUAUGCCUACCCUACACAGCUUAGGUCCAAGCUAUCUGAAAUAGGUGUGCCAGGUUCUGUACAACAUUGCAGGGGCCUGUCGCAGCUCCUGCCAACCUAGCAGUUGGAAAACAUGUCAAACACAGAACCUAGGACUUGCUGAUCAGAAGGUCAGCGGUUCGAAUCCCCGUGAUGGGGUGAGCUCCCGUUGCUCUGUCCUUGCUCCUGCCAACCUAGCAGUUCGAAAGCACGUCAAAGUACAAGUAGAUAAAUAAGGAAGGUAAAUGGCAUUUCCAUGCACUGCUCUGGUUCACCAGAAGUGGCUUAGUCAUGCUGGCCACAUGACCCAGAAGCUGUCUGCAGACAAAUGCCAGCUCCCUCGGCCAGUAAAGCGAGAUGAGCACUGCAACCCCAGAGUUGUCUGCAACUGGACUUAAUGGUCAGGGGUCCCUUUACCUUUACCUUUAACAUUGGGAAGACCACAGAUUAGCCCCUUGUUUUUACUGUCUUCUUUUUCUAAGGCAGCUUCUGGAGCAUCCCAUAAUACUGUUAAGUCAGAGGUUUUACAGCCUGUGCGCCACAUGCCAGUGUUGUCUGGAGUCAGAGGUAAACGUGAGAAGAGCAAUUAAUGUGAAUGUUAUCUUUGUGCAUUACGGUAGCUUCUACACAACCUCACACAAUGAUCUCUAACCUCCACCCACACAAGCAAGAGGCAUUAUCAGAGUCCAAGGAGAUAUUCCCACCAGACGAAAGGUCUUAAGGUCAGCCUGGAUAGCUCAGUUGGUUAGACUGUGGUGCUGAUAGCACCAAGGUUGCUGGUUCGAUCCCUGUAUGGGACAGCUGCAUAGUCCUGCAUUGCAGGGGGUUGCGCUCAGUGCAUCCCAGAUGGGUCUCUGGCUGUUUUUGGACUGCAACUCCCAUCAUCCCUAGCCAGCUGGACCAGUGUUCAGGGAUGAAGGGAAUUGUAGUCGGGGGGCGGGGCGGCUGGAGACCCAAGUGUGGAAACACUGGACUAAUCUGCAGGGUCCCUUCCAACUCUACAAUUCUAUUCUAUGAAGAUGCAAAGCAGUGAAAGGUGUGGGCUGUGGGGCAUUCCAGGGGCCAGCUAGGGAGACCUGGAGGGUCAUAUGUGAUCUAUAGGCCUGAGGAUUCCCACACUUGCCAUAUGUUUUCAAAGAACCCCCACAAUAUAAGUUUACCCCACCUACUUCAAAUUUAUCAGUACCAGUAUUGUCAGGAAUGAAGGUCAGAUGAAGUUAUGGGAGGAAUACUUGGACACCCACAUAUCUGCACUUUGGAAUAUGGAGCCAAACAAAUGGUAUAUUAUUUCUUUUUUAAAAAGAGAGAGAGAGGCAUAAUUAAUAAAAUGGUGGCAUCCUUCAUGGCUGCCUCACGAAAAACCUCCUCAGUGAACUUGCUUCACGGAAAGAACUUACGGAUGAAUUACACAGAAAUCAAGUGAGGCUCUGUUCCAUGGCGCUGCUCUCUAGAGAAACAUUUUGUCUUGCUCUGCACUCUCCUGUGUGUCAGUAAUAAAGUCAGUGGCAAAAAAGAGAGAGAUACUUUUGCAAAAAAGGAAGAUGUUCGGGGAGAAAGAAGCCCUUAAAGCAGACAUUUAAUAAUAUGGCAAUAAAACAAGGGGAUAAAACAAGAUGUGAAAUAAUAGGCCCACAAUGAAUCUUCUUUGGGAUUCCCCCCAGACCCGGCUCUCUGAUCCUGCUGCAAAAACCAUUUCAAAUUGGCUUUGGGGGACUUCCAAUACUAGGACAGGGAACUCAAGAAAAUAUGGCAAUGGAACCAUCCUGGCGAGUUUGUGAAAUGUGGCUGUGCAGAAGCAUUGGGAAGGAGUCAGCUCAGCGGUAGCAGAGCUGCGCAGAUCUCAUGAUUCAUAUCAUGUCCCAGGUUCAGUCUCUGACAACUCAGGUUAGCAAAGUUCUCCCUGAUAGCAAGGGAAGGGAAAGUUGUGUCUGAGGAUCAUGAAGAACCAGUCAUUUGGCCCAGUAGUAGACUGCUUAGUAUAUUCCACAACAGGAAGAUCUUUGGCCCAUUAGAGUUUGUCUGAUGCCCAACUUGCUAAUAAGGUAUUGGAAUUCUAUGGGAACCUCCAAAGUUUAAGGACCUAGAAAGCAGCCUUAUAACAAAUUGGCCUAUUGGUCCAUCUAGUACAGUAAUAUCAAGGCCAGAAGCAGGGAAUCUUUUAUAGCCCAAGAGUCACAUUCCCUUCUGGGCAGCUAUUCAAGGCCACAAAAACAAUUAAACAUUAAUAGAAGUGUGUGUGUGUGUGUGUGUGUGUGUGUGUGUGUGUGUGUGUGUGUAGGCAUGCAGAUACAGAUCAUUAAAAUAAAAACAUCAUAGUACCAGCCCUUUCCUUAAAAACAGUCAGUUCCCAAAAGUCUGUUAGAACAAAAAAAGUCUUCACCUUGGCAGAAGGACAAGGAUAUAAAGCAACAGUCAGUUCCAGGCCAGUGAUUCUCAGGAGUUCAGUGCCCCACCUGAUCCUAAAGCUUUCUCCACAGCGAACUCUCCAUGGUCCUGAUUUUCAACUGCCUGACCUGCACCAGGCCACGCUUCAUCAGAGUAUCUCAGUGACAACUUCAUGGCAAAUCAGAUACUUGGAAUUUGGGUAAACCCUGAGACACAUUGAUUACUCAAGUUGUCUGAUUCCUAACAAACUAUGGAGCAUGAUGCUGUCUUCAUAACAGAGGCCAUCAUUCUUAGUUCAGAGCAAGUUAAGUUACAUGUGGGGCUGAACAUUUAGGCUUUCAGGAAGGGCUGCAGCUCUGUGUUAGAGGAUCUGCUUUGCAUGCAGAAAACCCCAGGUUCAAUCUCUGAAAUCUCUAAGUAGGGCUGGGAGAGACCCCUGUAUCAAAUCUCCAAAAGCUGCUACCAGUCAGAGUAGAAAGUAUUAGACCAGAUAGAGCAAUGGUCUGACUCAGUUCAAGGCAGCUGUCUAUGUUCCUGUGUUUCAUUGCUUCUUCAUGUUAGGGAUGCUUCUGAAAUCAUUUCUGUCAUUCCAUCCCACUCAUCACACCUCUCAUCCCCACUUCUCAUACUUGGAUCUGACUUUGAUAUUAGUGAGGAACCACUUCCAGUAGUGGCCAGAAACAUAUUGUUUUGUUUUUUUAAAAUAGUAUUUCUUAAUUUUAAAGGGUUACAAAAAGAAAAAAAUUUUAAAAAGCAUAUUAAUAAGAUACAAAACAUCACAUCGCAGUAAUAAAAAAAAGAAAAAAGAGAAAAAAGAAAAAAGAAAAGAAACAACAACAAAAAUACAAAGAAUCUUCCCAUAAUUUAUCUUUCAUUUGCUUAUUUCCUUGACCUCCUCACACCUCCCUUUUUUGUAUUCUAGUUCAAUUAGCUAUUUCAGCAAGUCCUUUCCAUCUUUUCCAAUUUUUGUCCUCUAUUUUAUCUUAAUAUAAUGUAACUUUACUUUCCCUCCUUCACCAUUUAGCAAUCUAUUUUUUCUUAAUCCUUUAUAACAUUUCUGCUAAAACCACAUUGUUUCAUUCCAACAUCCUUCUAACAUUCCUUAAUUUUACAAUGUUUCUGUAAAUAAACUUUAAAUUUCUUCCAAUCUUCUUCCACCAACUCUUCUCCCUGGUCUCGGAUUCUGCCAGUCAUUUCCGCCAGUUCCAUGUAGUCCAUCACCUUCAUCUGCCAUUCUUCCCAGGUGGGUAGAUCUUGUGUCUUCCAAUACUUCGCGAUGAAUAUUCUUGCUGCUGUUGUGGCAUACAUAAAAAAAGUUCUAUCCUUUUUUGGCACCACUUGGCCGACCAUGCCCAGGAGAAAGGCCUCUGGUUUCUUCAGAAAGGUAUAUUUAAAUACCUUUUUCAUUUCAUUAUAAAUCAUCUCCCAGAAUGUCUUAAUCCUUGGGGACGUCCACCAAAGGUGAAAAAAUGUACCUUCAGUCUCUUUGCAUUUCCAACAUUUAUUAUCGGGCAAGUGAUAUAUUUUUGCAAGCUUGACUGGUGUCAUGUACCACCUGUAGAUCAUUUUCAUUAUAUUCUCUCUUAGGGCAUUACAUGCCGUAAACUUCAUACCUGUGGUCCAUAACUGUUCCCAGUCAGCCAUCAUAAUAUUAUGUCCUACAUCUUGUGCCCAUUUAAUCAUAGUUGAUUUCACCGUUUCAUCCUGAGUAUUCCAUUUCAACAGCAAGUUAUACAUUCUUGACAAAUUCUUAGUUUUGGGAUCUAACAGUUCUGUUUCCAAUUUUGAUUUUUCCACCUGGAAACCAAUUUUUUUAUCCAAAUUGUACGCCUCCAUUAUUUGGUAAUAAUGGAGCCAAUCUUGCACUCUAUUUUUUAGUUUUUCAAAACUCUGCAAUUUUAAUCUGUCUCCCUCUUGAUCCAAAAUUUCCCAAUAUUUCGGCCAAUUGGCCUCCAUAUUGAGCUUUUUCUGAGCCUUCGCUUCCAUUGGUGUCAGCCACCUUGGGGUUUUAUUUUCAAGCAAGUCCUUAUAUCUUAUCCAGACAUUAAACAGUGCUUUUCUGACAAUAUGGUUUUUAAACGCUUUAUGUGCUUUAACCUUAUCAUACCACAAAUAUGCAUGCCACCCAAAUAUGUUGUUAAAACCUUCUAGGUCCAGUACGUCAGUAUUUUCAAGAAGCAGCCAUUCUCUCAGCCAGCAAAACGCGGCCGAUUCAUAAUAAAGUUUAAAGUCUGGCAGGGCAAAUCCACCUCUUUCUUUAGCAUCGGUUAAAAUCUUAAAUUUUAUUCGAGGCUUCUUGCCCUGCCAGACAAAUCUAGAAAUAGUGGCCAGAAACAUAUUGCUGGAAGUGCAACAGUAGGGAUCAUUCAGUUUGUAAUGUAAAGGUUAAUUCUGAUAGUGUUAAAAUCAACCAGCCAAGAGAGGGGUGACGGGUAGAGGUGUUGCUUGGCAACCAGACAAAAUGGCAUGAUCUUCAAUGAAGUAGUAUAUGCUCUGAUUGGUUGCGUAGUUCCGAGGAAGUUUUCCCUCUGUAUGUUUGGCUGAAUGCCUCCCUAUUAUGUAUAUGCCUGACGUAAGAAAAACAAAACCUCGUGGUUCCUUUCUCCUCCAAUUAUAUACUGUUUUGUUCCAUUUCCUCAUUUAUAUACUGUUCCAUUUCCUCAGUAAAUCAUUAUCAGGAUUUAUUUUCUCUCACUGCCCCAUCUGCAGUGUUUAAGCAAUUUUGCCAACAUUUGUAUCUAUUCUUGAAGAACUGGAGCAUAAUUUAUUAGUAAAGAGCAAUCAAGACCUUGCAUGCAUCUUAUAUGCACAACAUAACCCAUAAACUGUUGUGUGUUUACUGUCCUCUGUUUUUCAGCACAGCAAAGGAGCAUCCAGGUCAAAUGAAAAGAAAAAGUAUCCCAACCAGAGUGUCAGAACACAAACCUGUGAUUCACAGCCACUAAAAGACUGUACGUGCUAUUUAUGAGUGGGGUAGAAUGUGUACAGGCAGCAACUCCUACCAGUCUCACCAUGAAAUGUGCUGGUGUGACCAAAGGAAAGAAGAAUCCACUUUACUGCUGGUCAAAAAAUGCCUGAACUAACUGCUGUUCCAUUUGUACCGAUCUUCUCAGUACUGAUCUUCUCAGCAUCUGUGUCUCAAUUUAUGCCGGCUAUCUUAUUUAAAAAUAAAUCUUUGUGAAGAAAGGGACGGGGGGAGAGACAAGAAGAAGAAUAAAACCCACACAUUGCAAUAUGCUCACCCAAGUCAAACUGCUAUCCUGGCCCUGAUUUCAUCUGAAAGGAACAUGUUGUCCCUGCAGGACAAUUUUUAACCCUUGUGAAAAUUAUUUCCAGCUGGCGAAAACAGCAAGAAGACGGAGAGAAGCUCUCGGGUCACCAUGUGAUGGUGUUUUGUGUGUUUGUGUGUGUUAAUGCAGUGUCUCAUUUUAACCCAUCUCAGCAUGGGGGCGGGGGAAGCAAUCUUGGCGUGUCAAAUUGUCGUCAUCGUGGGGAACAUGAUCCUAGGAAAAGACGAGUAAAUCGGGAAUGUGCUCAGAAAAAGCUGCAUCAUUUCUGAGUGACGUACAGAUGCUCUAGCGGGCUUUGAGAAGCACACACUCUCUGUUGCAUUUGAUGUGUAUUGAUGUGUGGGUG